GCCUGGGUGGCUCAGUCGGUUGAGCGUCUGACUCUUGAUUUCAGCUCAGGUCAUGAUCUCACAGUUUGUGGGUUCGAGCCCCAUGUCGGGCU
rnacentral:tRNA from 1 species